UCAGCUCGUGUCGUGAGAUGUUGGGUUAAGUCCCGCAACGAGCGCAACCCUUGACCUGUGUUACCAGCGCGUGAAGGCGGGGACUCACAGGUGACUGCCGGCGCAAGUCGGAGGAAGGCGGGGAUGACGUCAAAUCAUCAUGCCCUUUAUGUCCUGGGCUACACACGUGCUACAAUGGGCGGUACAACGGGAAGCGAGACCGCGAGGUGGAGCGAACCCCUGAAAGCCGUUCGUAGUUCGGAUUGCAGGCUGCAACUCGCCUGCAUGAAGCCGGAAUUGCUAGUAAUCGCGGAUCAGCAUGCCGCGGUGAAU
rnacentral:rRNA from 1 species